GACGAACGCUGGCGGCGUGCCUAAUACAUGCAAGUAGAACGCUGAAGGAGGAGCUUGCUUCUCUGGAUGAGUUGCGAACGGGUGAGUAACGCGUAGGUAACCUGCCUGGUAGCGGGGGAUAACUAUUGGAAACGAUAGCUAAUACCGCAUAAUAGUAGAUGUUGCAUGACAUUUGCUUAAAAGGUGCAAUUGCAUCACUACCAGAUGGACCUGCGUUGUAUUAGCUAGUUGGUGGGGUAACGGCUCACCAAGGCGACGAUACAUAGCCGACCUGAGAGGUUGAUCGGCCACACUGGGACUGAGACACGGCCCAGACGCCUACGGGAGGCAGCAGUAGGGAAUCUUCGGCAAUGGACGGAAGUCUGACCGAGCAACGCCGCGUGAGUGAAGAAGGUUUUCGGAUCGUAAAGCUCUGUUGUAAGAGAAGAACGAGUGUGAGAGUGGAAAGUUCACACUGUGACGGUAGCUUACCAGAAAGGGACGGCUAACUACGUG
rnacentral:rRNA from 1 species